UUAAAUCUCACAAAGAGAGAUAUUCAGCUACAUUACUUUGGAGAAAAGAUUGUUUGCCAACAUAACAUGGCAGUCCUGGUUUAGGACGAAUGUUGCUGUAAUUUAGCUCCAGGAGAAAUCGUCUGCAGCUGGUUAUACGACACGAGCUGUGUCCUUAUAUUUCUGCUGAUUUU